GAUGAAGAACGCAGCGAAAUGCGAUAAGUAGUGUGAAUUGCAGAAUUCAGUGAAUCAUCGAAUCUUUGAACGCACAUUGCGCUCCUUGGUAUUCCAUGGGGCAUGCCUGUUCGAGCGUCAUUUGUACCUUCAAGCUCUGCUUGGUGUUGGGUGUUUGUCUCGCCUCUGCGUGUAGACUCGCCUCAAAACAAUUGGCAGCCGGCGUAUUGAUUUCGGAGCGCAGUACAUCUCGCGCUUUGCACUCAUAACGACGACGUCCAAAAGUACAUUUUUACACUCUUGACCUCGGAUCAGGUAGGGAUACCCGCUGAACUUAAGCAUAUCAAUAAGCGGAGGA
rnacentral:misc_RNA from 1 species